ensembl:snoRNA
UGCAGUCAAGUCAAAUUCAGUCCCUGUCCUGUCAUGGCAGGAACUGGCCCAGAUGGCUGCCACAACAAGUCCUGCUGCUCAUGGGCCCUGGGUCCCCUGUCCUGGGACCUGGGGAUAAGUUUAGCUGCAGACAUUA